CCUACGGGAGGCAGCAGUUGGGAAUCUUGGACAAUGGGGGAAACCCUGAUCCAGCCAUGCCGCGUGAGUGAUGAAGGCCUUCGGGUUGUAAAACUCUUUCGACGGGGACGAUAAUGACGGUACCCGUAGAAGAAGCUCCGGCUAACUUCGUGCCAGCAGCCGCGGUAAUACGAAGGGGGCUAGCGUUGUUCGGAAUUACUGGGCGUAAAGCGCGCGCAGGCGGUCUUCCAAGUCAGUGGUGAAAGCCCGGAGCUCAACUCCGGAACUGCCAUUGAAACUGUAAGACUUGAGGACGAGAGAGGUGAGUGGAAUUCCCAGUGUAGAGGUGAAAUUCGUAGAUAUUGGGAAGAACACCGGUGGCGAAGGCGGCUCACUGGCUCGUAUCUGACGCUCAGGCGCGACAGCGUGGGGAUCAAACAGGAUUAGAUACCCUGGUAGUCCACGCCGUAAACGAUGAAUGCUAGCCGUUGGGUAGCUUGCUAUUCAGUGGCGCAGCUAACGCAUUAAGCAUUCCGCCUGGGGAGUACGGCCGCAAGGUUGAAACUCAAAUGAAUUGACGG
rnacentral:rRNA from 1 species